GACGAACGCUGGCGGCGUGCCUAAUACAUGCAAGUCGAGCGAAUCUCAGGGAGCUUGCUCCCUGAGAUUAGCGGCGGACGGGUGAGUAACACGUGGGUAACCUGCCUGUAAGACUGGGAUAACUUCGGGAAACCGGAGCUAAUACCGGAUACUUUCUUUUCUCGCAUGAGGGAAGAUGGAAAGAUGGUUCUGCUAUCACUUACAGAUGGACACGCGGCGCAUUAGCUAGUUGGUGAGGUAACGGCUCACCAAGGCGACGAUGCGUAGCCGACCUGAGAGGGUGAUCGGCCACACUGGGACUGAGACACGGCCCAGACUCCUACGGGAGGCAGCAGUAGGGAAUCUUCCGCAAUGGACGAAAGUCUGACGGAGCAACGCCGCGUGAGCGAAGAAGGCCUUCGGGUCGUAAAGCUCUGUUGUUAGGGAAGAACAAGUACGAGAGUAACUGCUCGUACCUUGACGGUACCUAACCAGAAAGCCACGGCUAACUACGUGCCAGCAGCCGCAGUAACAC
rnacentral:rRNA from 1 species